rnacentral:rRNA from 1 species
CACUCCUGCGGGAGGCAGCAGUGGGGAAUAUUGGACAAUGGGCGCAAGCCUGAUCCAGCCAUGCCGCGUGAGUGAUGAAGGCCCUAGGGUUGUAAAGCUCUUUCACCGGUGAAGAUAAUGACGGUAACCGGAGAAGAAGCCCCGGCUAACUUCGUGCCAGCAGCCGCGGUAAUACGAAGGGGGCUAGCGUUGUUCGGAUUUACUGGGCGUAAAGCGCACGUAGGCGGACUAUUAAGUCAGGGGUGAAAUCCCGGGGCUCAACCCCGGAACUGCCUUUGAUACUGGUAGUCUUGAGUUCGAGAGAGGUGAGUGGAAUUCCGAGUGUAGAGGUGAAAUUCGUAGAUAUUCGGAGGAACACCAGUGGCGAAGGCGGCUCACUGGCUCGAUACUGACGCUGAGGUGCGAAAGCGUGGGGAGCAAACAGGAUUAGAAACCCCUGUAGUCCCA